UUAUCCAUUGAAUGUCACCCUGCAUCACAUUUUCAGGCUGCAAGAAUUGCAAAUGGCUUGGAAGUAUAGUAAGAACUCAACUCUAUCAUAACUCAAUUUAGAACUGUAUUUCUGUCAAGAUUUUAUAUACAGAUAGUGCUGGUGGUCAUUCACAUCCUAGGCACUUUACACUGUAAAAUUGAUUAACCAAUGGAUCAUCUUUAACCAAUGUAUGUAUAUAUAGAUUGAAUAUUUCAUUUCCAUCUCUUGGAAUUCUUCAGCCCUUUCGACUUUUGUUUAGCAGCUUGAAACGCCUUCAUUUUCUGCUUCUUUCGAGCUUCCUUCUCAGCCUGUUAAACCAAGGGAUAUAGAAAGGUUGCGAUUAUGUAUGUAAACCAUGUGACCAUAACCUAUCCAGUUUAGAAAGCUAGGAAUCACAAGGGUAAUGCUUACUUUGGACAUCUUGGAUUUGGCUUUCACUUUAGGAGCUUUCUCUUCAAGAUCUGCCUCACGCUCAAGCUACUUUGCCCUUGCCUCAAGGUUCUUCUCCAGAUAAUA
rnacentral:lncRNA from 1 species